rnacentral:miRNA from 1 species
AUGGUCCCGAUGACCGGAAGGGAUUCCUUCCGGUCAUCGAGAGACAGUACAGUCUCGAUGGCCGGAAGGGAUUCUCAAUGACCGGAAGGAAUCCCUUCCGGUCAUCAAGACUGUACAGUCUCGAUGACCGGAAGGAAUCCCUUCCGGUCAUCAAGACCAU